GAAAUGCGAUAAGUAAUGUGAAUUGCAGAAUUCCGUGAAUCAUCGAAUCUUUGAACGCACAUUGCGCCCCCUGGUAUUCCGGGGGGCAUGCCUGUCCGAGCGUCAUUACAACCAUCAAGCACGGCUUGUGUGUUGGGCGACCGUCCCCCUUCUCUGGCGGGACGCGCCCGAAACGCAGUGGCGACGCCGCGAUUCCGGCGCCUGAGCGAAUGGGAUUUUCCACCGCUACAAGGCCCGGCCGGCAUUGGCCUCCAAACCAGUCCCUUAGGGACUACACAACGGUUGACCUCGGAUCAGGUAGGGAUACCCGCUGAACUUAA
rnacentral:misc_RNA from 1 species